GGGGCAUUUCAGUUUUCCUGUCAGUCAGUCAGCAGGGCAUAGUGAACACAGUGGUGCCUGCCUGUAACUGUAGGAAGUCUAACGUUAACCCACACCGUGACAGGUUUCACCUUGCCGUUAAAUA